GACGAACGCUGGCGGCGUGCUUAACACAUGCAAGUCGAACGAUGAGGCUGGAGCUUGCUCCGGUGGAUUAGUGGCGAACGGGUGAGUAACACGUGAGCAAUUUGCCCUUCACUCUGGGAUAACUGCGGGAAACUGUAGCUAAUACCGGAUACGAGACCUUGGGGCAUCCCAGGGUCUGGAAAGAAUUUCGGUGAAGGAUGAGCUCGCGGCCUAUCAGCUAGUUGGUGAGGUAAUGGCUCACCAAGGCGACGACGGGUAGCCGGCCUGAGAGGGUGACCGGCCACACUGGGACUGAGACACGGCCCAGACUCCUACGGGAGGCAGCAGAGGGGAAUAUUGCACAAAGGGCGAAAGCCUGAUGCAGCAACGCCGCGUGAGGGAUGAAGGCCUUCGGGUUGUAAACCUCUUUUAGUAGGGAAGAAGCGCAAGUGACGGUACCUACAGAAAAAGCACCGGCUAACUACGUGCCAGCAGCCGCCGUAA
rnacentral:rRNA from 1 species